ensembl:snoRNA small nucleolar SNORD12/SNORD106
ACUGGUGCACGUGAUGACUAAACCUUUUUUCCCCAUCAGAGCGACAGUGUUGAUUUUGCUGUUCUAAGCCAGAUCGUGUCUGACGCACCAGU